rnacentral:tRNA from 1 species
UCCGCGAUAGCUCAACGGUAGAGCGAAGGACUGUUAAUCCUCAGGUUCCAGGUUCGAAUCCUGGUCGCGGAG